GCUAUAUUACCUUCUCUCACCAACAUAAAUUAGAAACAAAUGAACCUCUCUUAAUUUUCUCAUUCUCUCACAAUUCUUUCUUUCAUCAUCUUUUACUACAAUUCUAUAAUAACUUGAUUUUUUGUUUGUUUUGCAGAAAAAUUAAAAUAUAUCCAUCUCCAUCUAACAACAACGCGGGAAAGUUGAAAGUAUUUCAGUGAUAACAACAAACAAGAACACGUGAAAGUAGAAUAGUAUAACAUUUUUCAUGAUUGAACAAAUUCUACUCAAGAUUCAUGAACAAAUUCUACUUCAAGAUAGGGAGAUGUUGAAAACAGUGGUUUUGCAUCAAACAACUUUCAAAGAUUCAAGUAACCAAGACCCAAAAAUUAUUCAUGAUAAAAACAAAAGAUGAACACGGGAAACAAAACACUACCAAGGAAGAUCGCGAGAAAAGAAAACACAUACCAAGAAAGUGGAAGAAUUUGAUUUUGAUAACAUUUCUGAGUGAUUAUAU